GCCAGACUCCUACGGGAGGCAGCAGUGGGGGAUAUUGCACAAUGGGGGGAACCCUGAUGCAGCGACGCCGCGUGGGUGAAGAAGCGCCUCGGCGCGUAAAGCCCUGUCAGCAGGGAAGAAAAUGACGGUACCUGAAGAAGAAGCCCCGGCUAACUACGUGCCAGCAGCCGCGGUAAUACGUAGGGGGCAAGCGUUAUCCGGAUUCACUGGGUGUAAAGGGAGCGUAGACGGCGACGCAAGUCUGGAGUGAAAGCCCGGGGCCCAACCCCGGGACUGCUCUGGAAACUGCGUCGCUGGAGUGCGGGAGGGGCAGGCGGAAUUCCUGGUGUAGCGGUGAAAUGCGUAGAUAUCAGGAGGAACACCGGCGGCGAAGGCGGCCUGCUGGACCGUGACUGACGUUGAGGCUCGAGAGCGUGGGGAGCAAACAGGAUUAGAUACCCCAGUA
rnacentral:rRNA from 1 species